rnacentral:rRNA from 1 species
UACGUAGGGUCCGAGCGUUGUCCGGAAUUAUUGGGCGUAAAGAGCUCGUAGGCGGUUUGUCGCGUCUGCUGUGAAAUCCCGAGGCUCAACCUCGGGUCUGCAGUGGGUACGGGCAGACUGGAGUGCGGUAGGGGAGAAUGGAAUUCCUGGUGUAGCGGUGGAAUGCGCAGAUAUCAGGAGGAACACCGAUGGCGAAGGCAGUUCUCUGGGCCGUACCUGACACUGAUGCGCGACAGCAUGGGGAGCAAACAGG